rnacentral:rRNA from 1 species
GUAGGUGGCAAGCGUUGUCCGGAUUUAUUGGGGCGUAAAGCGCGCGCAGGCGGCUAUGUAAGUCUGGUGUUAAAGCCCCGGGGGCUCAACCCCCGGGUUCGCAUCGGAAACUGCGUAGCUUGAGUGCAGAAGAGGAAAGCGGUAUUCCACGUGUAGCGGUGAAAUGCGUAGAGAUGUGGAGGAACACCAGUGGCGAAGGCGGCUUUCUGGUCUGUAACUGACGCUGAGGCGCGAAAGCGUGGGGAGCAAACAGGAUUAGAUACCCUGGUAGUCCACGCCGUAAACGAUGAGUGCUAGGUGUUGGGGGUUUCAAUACCCUCAGUGCCGCAGCUAACGCAAUAAGCACUCCGCCUGGGGAGUACGCUCGCAAAGAGUGA